CUCUGCCAAAACCCCAGGAAACAGAUGAAAAAGAUAAUACCAAAAGGUUCUUAUUUCAUUAUUCGAAGACACGGAAAUUGGGCAAUUCAAAUGUUGUG